AGGAGACACAGAAAGAGAGAGAAAUGGUUGUAUUCUUGCCAAGUCUCUAAAGAUAAAAUUUAUCUUUUCAUUUUUAUGCAAUUUUCCUUACUUUAUACAACUUUGUGUGUGUGUGUGUGUGUGUGUGUGCAUGUGUGUUUCUC
rnacentral:sRNA from 1 species